GCAGUAGCCACGGGAAUACGGAGGGUGCAAGCGUUAAUCGGAAUUACUGGGCGUAAAGCGCACGCAGGCGGUCUGUCAAGUCAGAUGUGAAAUCCCCGGGCUUAACCUGGGAACUGCAUUUGAAACUGGCAGGCUAGAGUCUUGUAGAGGGGGGUAGAAUUCCAGGUGUAGCGGUGAAAUGCGUAGAGAUCUGGAGGAAUACCGGUGGCGAAGGCGGCCCCCUGGACAAAGACUGACGCUCAGGUGCGAAAGCGUGGGGAGCAAACAGGAUUAGAUACCCCUGUAGUCCCUGUCUCUUAUAC
rnacentral:rRNA from 1 species